rnacentral:rRNA from 1 species
AAAUAACGGAGGGAGAGAAUCGGCGGUAGUACGUGGGGUGCUGGCGUUAAUCGGAAUGACUGGGAGUAAAGCGUGCGGAGGAGGUGGUUUAAGACAGAUGUGAAAUCCCCGGGCUCAACCGGGGAACUGCGUUUGUGACUGCAUAACUAGAGUACGGCAGAGGGAGGUAGAAUUCCGCGUGUAGCAGUGAAAUGCGGAGAGAUGCGGAGGAACACCGAUGGCGAAGGCAGCCUCCUGGGCCAGUACUGACGCUCAUGCACGAAAGCGUGGGGAGCAAACAGGAUUAGAUACCCCAGUAGUC